AUUGAACGCUGGCGGCAGGCCUAACACAUGCAAGUCGAACGAGUGGCGGACGGGUGAGUAAUGUCUGGGACACUGCCUGAUGGAGGGGGAUAACUACUGGAAACGGUAGCUAAUACCGCAUACCAUCGGAUGUGCCCCGAUGGGAUUAGCUAGUUGGUGGGGUAACGGCUCACCUAGGCGACGAUCACUAGCUGGUCGGAGGGGAUGACCAGCCACACGGGAACUGAGACACGGUCCAAACGCCUACGGUAGGCAGCAGGGGGGAAUAUUGCACUAUGGGCGCAAGCCUGAUGCAGCCAUGCCGCGUGUAUGAAGGGGGGCUUCGGGUUGUAAAGUACUUUCAGCGGGGAGGCGUUACCCGCAGAAGAAGCACCGGCUAACUCCGUGCCAGCAGCCGCGGUAAUAC
rnacentral:rRNA from 1 species